UUGAGAUGAUCAACUCGGUUUGCCAGAAAUGUUAGAGUGAAGGUGCAAUAUUAGAGUAAGAUCCACAGCAAGUCCUGAUGUUUCACCACUCCAAGUUUGAGACAACAUGCAAGGUAAUUCAAAACAUGAUGUGACUGCUGUAAGUUUUAAAACAGACCUUUGGAGCUUGGAAGUGUCCCAUGCUAACCCUUACUGUAUACUAGAUUUAUUCCUCUACAUAGAAUAAGCUGAAGACAUCUUUUAGUUAAUUCAAAGUAUUUGAUUGGGAUUCAGUAUUCAGAGAUACUAAAUACUAAAGAAGCAGGCCCAGGGGCCAAAAAAGCUGAUGGAGACAUCCUUUGUGGAUAACACAGGUGACACAGCUAGCAACACAUGACAAAUCUUGUGGUCAGCAGGAUACCAUUUGAGGCCUACAUUUGGAGUUUGGGUCAUUACACUCUGUCUUUUGGGGCCAAAGUGACCCAAAAAGUUUUUAAAAGUUGGGACAAGGACGUCAGAUUCUCUACUUUUAACAUCACUCUGAAAGCAUUUGGAAACCAAAAAGACCAGUUUCAAGAGUUCAAAGACAGAACUGUCCCAUUUUGCCUGAUGUAGGAUUUCAGCUUCUUAACAGUUAAGUCUUCCUUUGUAGUUUCAUUUCACCAUGCCCAAAAGUUACCAAUGGGUGACAAGUCAGGACUACAAUCAGGCUGGUUUAGCAGCAGGACCUUUCUACUGCAGAACCAUGCUGCUGUAAUCCCUGUAAAUGUGGUUUAUCAUUGUCUGGUUUCCCAUGAAAACUCAUUGUCUUGAUGACACCAGAUGUUGUUCCAAAACCUGUUUAUACUGUGCAGCAUUAAUUAAGACUCUGCAGGUGUGUAAGCUACACAUGCUAUGGAGACUCAUGAUCCCAAUACCAUCAGAGAUGCUGGCUUUAAACUGAGAGCUGGUAACAAGUCGGUGGUCCCUCUACUCUUUAGAUGCUGGGUCCAUGGUUUCCAAAAGAAUGUCAAAUUCUGAUUCAUUAGACCACAGGACAGUUUUCCAGUGGUCCCAAGCUCAUUUUAAAUGGGCUCAGGUCCAGAGAAGUCUCUGGUGUUUCUGGAUCAUGUUCAUAUCUCAUUUCCUCUUUGCUUGGGAUCUUUUUGACAUGCAUUUGUGGAUGCAUGUCAAAAGGUUUAUGGAAGUGAUUUUGAGCCCUUGCAGUGAUUUCCACUGCAGACUCAGAUUGGUUUUUAGUGCAGUGUAACCUGAGAGUCUGAAGAUCAGGAUCAUCUAGCCUUGGUUUUAAUCCAAAAACUGUUAAAGCACACAAACUAUCAUCCAACGCUAUGACGGUGAAUCUGAUGUUGCAACAACAUGCAAUCUGAUUGGUCAGAAGUGGACACACAGUAUGCGAAACCUUAGAAAAAUCGACCGUGAUCCGAAAAAAUAAAUUCGGCAAUAUUGCAGGAUGGGAAAAUGUUGCUUAUGUGAACGCUUGUAUUGACAGGAUACGGGUUCGAAAAAAAAUAUUGACGUCCGCAAUAAUCGCAUGAAAAAAAAGCUCCGUGUAUGUAAGGACCUUAACCCUGUGUCUUUUUUUCCAAUUUAGCGACUCAGACUCUCUGAAUGUCUUUUUCAUACACAGUCAUGUCACUAACCUGUUGCAAAUUAACCUCAUUAAUUGAGAUGUGCAUCCAGGCUGAAAAAGUUUUCCUCAAAAGAGUCUCUAGAUUUGUGUUUCCUGUCACUGAAACAAGUUCAAGACCAUGAUGUUUGUAUAAUUGGCCAUUCUGAGAAACUGAAUUAAAAGAAUAUGAACAUGGUCUAAUGAUUUACAGCAUCACAUAAAUGAAAAUCCCCUGAAAACCAACCAUGUCCUCCAGUUUGCGUAUUUGAGAAGAAGUAAGAGGCAAACAGAUGGGAAUGUAAAGCGUGAGGGUGUUUUCGUGUGAAAUAACUCUAAUUAUGCUGUAAAACACAGCCUGAGGCAGCGGAGAACAAUGCAGGACCAAAGAGGAGAGACAGUGUGACUUAAACACUAUCAGCUGUGUUCACACUGUCGGCGUAUUCAACCACUGUUUACACCCCAAAUCUGGCCUCCCUCUUGCUCUCCGUCUCUGAGCCAUUAUCAGCGACCAUCUUUAUCUCCCUCUGUGAUAGUGAAGUGUGGGAGAGUACAUAUUUGUCUUGGAAAGGUGGGAAAUUUCACCCUCACUUGUUGGUAAACACAAACCCUUCUGUUAUCUCUGCCUAACUGAGUUUAUUACCAACAAAAACUGUGUGUUGAGAGAAGUCUUCAACCAAAGGGGAGAAAAGUGUGCUCACAGGCACUUUUACACUCGCCUCAUAAACUUAAGAAACUCCAAACUUACUAAGUUUACAGUGAUUUGGUGACACAUGAGAGAUAAUGUUAAAUCUUCAGGUCAUUAAAAGGAGGUUAUACACUCACCGGCCACUUUAUUAGGUACACCAUGCUAGUAACGGGUUGGACCCCCUUUUGCCUUCAGAACUGCCUCAAUUCUUCGUGGCAUAGAUUCAACAAGGUGCUGGAAGCAUUCUUCAGAGAGCUUGGUCCAUAUUGACAUGAUGGCAUCACACAGUUGCCGCAGAUUUGUCGGCUGCACAUCCAUGAUGCGAAUCUCCCGUUCCACCACAUCCCAAAGAUGCUCUAUUGGAUUGAGAUCUGGUGACUGUGGAGGCCAUUUGAGUACAGUGAACUCAUUGUCAUGUUCAAGAAACCAGUCUGAGAUGAUUCCAGCUUUAUGACAUGACGCAUUAUCCUGCUGAAAGUAGCCAUCAGAAGUUGGGUACAUUGUGGUCAUAAAGGGAUGGACAUGGUCAGCAACAAUACUCAGGUAGGCUGUGGCGUUGCAACGAUGCUCAAUUGGUACCAAGGGGCCCAAAGCGUGCCAAGAAAAUAUUCCCCACACCAUGACACCACCACCACCAGCCUGAACCGUUGAUACAAGGCAGGAUGGAUCCAUGCUUUCAUGUUGUUGACGCCAAAUUCUGACCCUACCAUCCGAAUGUCGCAGCAGAAAUUGAGACUCAUCAGACCAGGCAACGUUUUUCCAAUCUUCUAUUGUCCAAUUUCGAUGAGCUUGUGCAAAUUGUAGCCUCAGUUUCCUGUUCUUAGCUGAAAGGAGUGGCACCCGGUGUGGUCUUCUGCUGCUGUAGCCCAUCUGCCUCAAAGUUCGACGUACUGUGCAUUCAGAGAUGCUCUUCUGCCUACCUUGGUUGUAACGGGUGGUUAUUUGAGUCACUGUUGCCUUUCUAUCAGCUCGAACCAGUCUGGCCAUUCUCCUCUGACCUCUGGCAUCAACAAGGCAUUUCCGCCCACAGAACUGCCGCUCACUGGAUAUUUUUUCUUUUUCGGACCAUUCUCUGUAAACCCUAGAGAUGGUUGUGCGUGAAAAUCCCAGUAGAUCAGCAGUUUCUGAAAUACUCAGACCAGCCCUUCUGGCACCAACAACCAUGCCACGUUCAAAGUCACUCAAAUCACCUUUCUUCCCCAUACUGAUGCUCGGUUUGAACUGCAGGAGAUUGUCUUGACCAUGUCUACAUGCCUAAAUGCACUAAGUUGCCGCCAUGUGAUUGGCUGAUUAGAAAUUAAGUGUCAACGAGCAGUUGGACAGGUGUACCUAAUAAAGUGGCCGGUGAGUGUAGGUUUAUGAUGAUCACAGCAAAAAAAAGUACUUUAUAUCAGAUUAAUUUCUGAUGAGAUAAAGCUGAAAUAAUUUCUUGAAAUGGCUGGUUUAUGAAUAUAAAAAAGUGCCCCAUGAUUAAUAUUUUCAAGACGGCAUAUCACUAACAGUUUAUAUUCAAUGCAAGGACAGCACAUAAUAUUAUAUAUCAUAUAUGCAUCAUCGCAGUUGGUGCAAAGUUUUCUCUUAGAUGCAUUUCUCUGCUGCAGCCACAUAAUGAGAUUUAACCGUAAAGAGGCAAAAAGCAGAGACGCUGACUCCUCUGGAUUAUCCUGCAGUAUAAAGGCCUGUGUUUAUCAACAGUGAUUUUUUUUUAAUGUAUUUAUUUAUUUUAUGGUGAUGGUUUACUACUCAAAACAAACACAGUCGGGUGUUUUUAGUGCUCAGCAUCCCAAAGCCAGCUUCAUUCAUACUGGCUUUGUUUUCAUUUGGACCUGGAUGUCAACAGAUUAAAGCGGCAUGUCUCACAUUUGGGUCUCAUGGUGAAAAUUUAGGGAAUAGAAAAUGGUUAUUGGUUAAAAAUAUUGGCUGUAGAGCAAAGGAUGCUGGUGACCAGUGGUCUUUAAGUCCGGCAUACCUUUAGUUACUAAUACCAGGAGCAGCCACUCUGGAUUUUGUGCUUGGUGUUUCUAAGUUCCUCCAAGUUUCCAUGACAAAUUUCCAAAUGUAAGGAGGUGAGAUAUGAUGUUUUCAGCAGCCAACUUAAAAUGUUCUACUUGUGAGAUCAAACAGAACACAUCUCAAGGGCAAAAACAACUUUUGCAUCAAUUGCUUUUCUUUCAGUACUUUGGGAACACCCAUGCUCUGGUCAAUGUCAUUGCACCGUGCAGACAUUAAUUUAGGCACAAAUCUAAUUUACUUAUAAACUGUUUGGAUAUUUUUAUCAAAUCACUGGGAAGAAGUGGGUUUGCAAAGCGGUACACAGCCCUAAUUUAUGCCUCACAUAUUACUGUCAGUGAGUUAUAUUAGGUAUGUUAAACUAGUGAAUUGAUCCUGAAGCUUUUGUUUUUUAAGAACUUUGGUUUUGCUGAAACCAAGCAGCUUUUUUCCACAUUAAAGUGGUUUCUGCCAAAUGUAGACCUUUACCUGUCCAACUGUGAUUACAAUCUAUGACCUGACCCCCUGCAGGCUGCAUGUGAUACCAUCAGCACCCAGUGAAUAAUGAAUAAACCUUGAUCUAAAUUAUUGAGACAGUCAGCAACAAAGCACGGAGCAAUUAGCAUGAGCCAACCAUUUCCAUUAAUUAUCAUGAGUGCACAACAUUUAAGAAGCUACGAAAGGCCAGACUCAUUAAAGAGGGCAGUUUUUACUGUCAGCUCUACUGUCUCUGGCUUAUUGUUAGUCUCCAUAUCCAUAAACCCUGAUGUUUAAUUACUUAUAAUGAAACUGAACCCAGCAGGGCACCUGAGGUAAACGGGGGAUUAAAAACAAGAGGUCAAAAUUACAGCUCCAAGAAGGAGAGCUUCAUGUGAGCAUUUUGUUACACAUCAGAGGACUGAGCAUUUAUGAGAUCUGUGGCCGUAGCUUUUUUAAUAUAUUCAAAAUGUUCAAAUUCAUACAGACCGAAGUAAUCAAUCUCAGAAUAUCAGAUUAAGACCAAUUUGCACAUGACAGAUUUGGCAUUGUAGACCUACCGUCAAAUUCAGACUUUAAUUAUAUUCUGAAGGAUAAAACUAUUAAACAUAGAGAUAAGCUGAAGUACAAGUUUAUACUGUAAAAUGUCACAUUAGUAGGGCUAUUUCUGAAACACUGACUGAAUGGCAUGGAUGUUCAUAAUGCAUUUACACUUUUUAGGAGUUCUCGUUUAGAAACUUUCUCGAUUUUUUUUCCCGAAAUGUUUUAAUUUAUACAGUUUUACACGAUAGAGGACUGCUGUUGCGCUCUAUUAUCAGUCUAAUUAGCUGCACUUGUCCAGUAUAGCUGAACCUCAAAGUGGUAGGUUAAAAACACUAAAUUCUGUUUGACACAAAGUGCAUAAAACUUUUAGUUGUCAAUUGAGCAGACUGAGUUUUUAAAAAGAGAAAUGUUCCCAUCAAAAGCACAGAGAUGUCUCUGAAUUUCAUUCCACAAAUUCUGACAGCAGUGACUUUUACCAAGUUAAGCCUGGAGCAGUGUGCAAUCAUUUUGUAUUUUAUUCAGAGCAUAUUAAAGUGAUCAGUGAUCUGUUUAACCUCAUUAGAGGAUACAUCGUAACUCAUUAUGAUGCAUCAACAUUGCUGUUUUGUAACCAGCUGAGAACUCCUCAUUAAGCAUUUAUAGAGAGUAAAGACCUAAAUCGUUGGAUAAAUAAUACUACAGGCCUUAGUUAAGAAUCACUGAAUCAAGUUUGACUCUUUCAUUGCCAGUUAAUUCUAUUUCCAAGACAAUUUUGAACAGUGUCUGACCACACUAAACUUUGUCUCCAAAAAAAAAGAAAAAUACUCCUAAAAAAGGGUCAAAAUAAAGUGCAAAAUAAUUCAUAAAUAACUCACAAAACGGUUCGUUUCUGACAUAAUAAAGGCAUGCUUUUACAGUAUCAUAGUUACCUCAACAUAAGGAAGCCAGCUUUUAAUCUAUAUUUGGAGUUGGAGAGCUACAGAGAAAACUCUCUCCUCACUCAGGAUAUUUUUACAGAGUCAGCUGGCUCCGAACUCCCCACCCUGAAGACAUUUUUCAAACAGACGCUGCCUUUGACGGACAGGCCAGGCUCUGCCUCGGGUCUAAUGGCUCCUCGGUUGGUUUUCUCCUGCUGAGAGUUUCUCCACGGGGUCGCUCACACUGACAGCAACAGUCCC